rnacentral:miRNA from 1 species
UCUAGAUACUUAUAGUGCAGGUAG